rnacentral:rRNA from 2 species
AAGUUUUAAGUUUGAAAGAUGCAAUUGCAUCACUCAAAGAUGAUCCCGCGUUGUAUUAGCUAGUUGGUGAGGUAAAGGCUCACCAAGGCGAUGAUACAUAGCCGACCUGAGAGGGUGAUCGGCCACAUUGGGACUGAGACACGGCCCAAACUCCUACGGGAGGCAGCAGUAGGGAAUCUUCGGCAAUGGACGAAAGUCUGACCGAGCAACGCCGCGUGAGUGAAGAAGGUUUUCGGAUCGUAAAACUCUGUUGGUAGAGAAGAACGUUGGUGAGAGUGGAAAGCUCAUCAAGUGACGGUAACUACCCAGAAAGGGACGGCUAACUACGUGCCAGCAGCCGCGGUAAUACGUAGGUCCCGAGCGUUGUCCGGAUUUAUU